ensembl:snRNA U6 U6 spliceosomal RNA
GCUUGCUUCGGCAGCCAUAUAUUAAACUUGGAACAAUACUGAGAAGAUUAGCAUGGCCCCUGCACAAGAAUGAAAUGCAAAUUUGUGAAGUGUUCCAUAUUAAA